rnacentral:sRNA from 1 species
UGCCCAUGCGGGGAAGGAUGAGAAGCUUCGACUAAGGUUCGACUUGAGCGCCAGCGAGAGAGCGUUGCCGCAGGCAACGACCCGAAGGGCGAAGCGCGCAGCGCUGAGUAAUCCUUCCCCCACCACCA